rnacentral:rRNA from 1 species
UACGGAGGGGGCUAGCGUUGUUCGGAAUUACUGGGCGUAAAGCGCACGUAGGCGGAUACUUAAGUCAGGGGUGAAAUCUCGGGGCUCAACCCCGGAACUGCCUUUGAUACUGGGUAUCUCGAGUCCGGAAGAGGUGAGUGGAAUUCCGAGUGUAGAGGUGAAAUUCGUAGAUAUUCGGAGGAACACCAGUGGCGAAGGCGGCUCACUGGUCCGGUACUGACGCUGAGGUGCGAAAGCGUGGGGAGCAAACAGG